rnacentral:rRNA from 1 species
CCUACGGGAGGCAGCAGUGAGGAAUAUUGGUCAAUGGGCGUAAGGCUGACGCAGCCACGUCGCGUGAAGGAAGAAGGAUCUAUGAUUUGUAAACUUCUUUUAUAGGGGAGUACAGGUAUUCACGUAAUGAGAUUUGCAUGUACCCUAUGAAUAAGCAUAGCAUAACUCAGUGCCAGCCGCCGCGCUAAUACGGAGGGUGCGAGCGUUAUCCGGAUUUGUUGGGUGUAAAGGGGGCGUAGGUUGUUUGGUAAGUCAGCGGUGAAAGUUUGUGGCUCAACCAUACAAUUGCCGUUGAAACUGGAAGACUGGAGUGUGUGUGAGGAAAGCGGAAUGCGAGGUGUAGCAGUGAAAUGCAUAGAUAUCACGCAGAACUCCGGUGGCGAAGGCAGCUUACUAAGCCAUAACUGACACUGAAGAGCGAAAGCGUGGGGAGCAAACAGGAUUAGAUACCCGAGUAGUC